rnacentral:rRNA from 1 species
AUUGAACGCUGGCGGCAGGCCUAACACAUGCAAGUCGAGCGAGCGGCGGACGGGUGAGUAAUGUAUGGGGACUGCCCGAUAAGGGGAGAUAACUGCUGGAGACGGUUGCUAAUCCCGCAUCCUGUCCGAUAACACCACUUGGAUUAGCGAGUAGGUAAGGUAAUGGCUGACCUAGGCGACGAUCCCUAGCUGGUCUGAGAGGAUGCUCAGACACACUGGGACUGAGAGACGGCCCAGACGCCUACGGAGUCAGCAGUGGGGAAUAUUGCACAAUGGGGGCAAUCCGGAUGCAGCAAUGCCGCGUGUAUGAGGAAGGCCCUAGGGUUGGAAAGUAAUUUCAGUCGGAAGGCGUUACCUACAGAAGAAGCACCGGCUAACUCCGUGCCAGCAGCCGCGGUAAUAC